rnacentral:rRNA from 2 species
AGAGUUUGAUCAUGGCUCAGAACGAACGCUGGCGGCAGGCUUAACACAUGCAAGUCGAGCGCCCCGCAAGGGGAGCGGCAGACGGGUGAGUAACGCGUGGGAAUCUACCUUUUGCUACGGAACAACAGUUGGAAACGACUGCUAAUACCGUAUGUGCCCUUCGGGGGAAAGAUUUAUCGGCAAAGGAUGAGCCCGCGUUGGAUUAGCUAGUUGGUGAGGUAAAGGCUCACCAAGGCGACGAUCCAUAGCUGGUCUGAGAGGAUGAUCAGCCACACUGGGACUGAGACACGGCCCAGACUCCUACGGGAGGCAGCAGUGGGGAAUAUUGGACAAUGGGCGCAAGCCUGAUCCAGCCAUGCCGCGUGAGUGAUGAAGGCCCUAGGGUUGUAAAGCUCUUUCACCGGUGAAGAUAAUGACGGUAACCGGAGAAGAAGCCCCGGCUAACUUCGUGCCAGCAGCCGCGGUAAUACGAAGGGGGCUAGCGUUGUUCGGAUUUACUGGGCGUAAAGCGCACGUAGGCGGAUUUUUAAGUCAGGGGUGAAAUCCCGGGGCUCAACCCCGGAACUGCCUUUGAUACUGGAAGUCUUGAGUAUGGUAGAGGUGAGUGGAAUUCCGAGUGUAGAGGUGAAAUUCGUAGAUAUUCGGAGGAACACCAGUGGCGAAGGCGGCUCACUGGAC